rnacentral:rRNA from 1 species
AUACGGAGGGUGUAAGCGUUACUCGGAAUCACUGGGCGUAAAGCGCGCGCAGGCGGUCUUUUAAGUUGGAUGGGAAAGCCUACGGCUCAACCGUAGAACUGCAUCCAAAACUAUUAGACUAGAGUGUGGGAGAGGAAGAUGGAAUUAGUUGUGUAGGGGUAAAAUCCGUAGAGAUAACUAGGAAUACCAAAAGCGAAGGCAAUCUUCUGGAACACUACUGACGCUGAGGCGCGAAAGCGUGGGGAGCAAACAGGAUUAGAAACCCUAGUAGUCC